GAGUCCGGACGGGGCUCACCAGCAGUUGACGUUGAGGUCGGAGCCCGGCUCCCGUAAGAGUCCGGGCGGAGUACAUUUGUUGCUGAAGUUGUCGACGGAGCUCGACUCCCGUAGGAGUCCGGGCGCAGUCUGUCUGCAGCCGUUGGAGUAGGGGAUGAAGUUCGGCUUUCGUAGGAGUCCGGGCGGAGUCUCCCUGCAAUCAAAGUUAAAGGUGAAGUCCGGCUCCCGUAGGAGUCCGGACGGGGCUCACCAGCAGUUGACGUUGAGGUCGGAGCCCGGCUCCCGUAAG
rnacentral:lncRNA from 1 species